rnacentral:rRNA from 1 species
AUUGAACGCUGGCGGCAGGCCUAACACAUGCAAGUCGAACGAGUGGCGGACGGGUGAGUAAUGUCUGGGAAACUGCGCGAUGGAGGGGGAUAACUAAUGGAAACGGUAGCUAAUACCGCCUACCAUCGGAUGUGCCCAGUGGGGAAUAGCUAGUGGUAGGGGUAAAGGCUAACCUAGGCGAGGAUCCCGUGCGGGUCGGAGAGGAUGACCAGCCACACUGGAACUGAGACACGGUCCAGACUCCUACGGGAGGCAGCAGUGGGGAAUAUUGCACAAUGGGCGCAAGCCUGAUGCAGCCAUGCCGCGUGUAUGAAGAAGGCCUUCGGGUUGUAAAGUACUUUCAGCGAGGAGGCGUUACUCGCAGAAGAAGCACCGGCUAACUCCGUGCCAGCAGCCGCGGUAAUUC